rnacentral:rRNA from 1 species
AAUCAACGCUGGCGGCGUGCCUCAGACAUGCAAGUCGAACGAUUAAAGCUCGUCUUCGGAGAGUGUAUAGAGUGGCGCACGGGUGAGUAACACGUAAGUAAUCUACCUUCGGAGUGGGGAAUAACGUCCGGAAACGGACGCUAAUACCGCAUAAUGCAGCGGCAUCGGCAAGAUGACAGUUGUUAAAGAUUUAUCGCUUGAAGAGGAGCUUGCGGCAGAUAGCUAGUUGGUAAGGUAAUGGCUUGCCAAGGCUACGAUCUGUAACCGGUCUAAGAGGACGGUCGGUCACACUGACACUGAAUAACGGGUCAGACUCCUACGGGAGGCAGCAGUCGGGAAUUUUGGGCAAUGGGCGAAAGCCU